GAUGAACGCUAGCUACAGGCUUAACACAUGCAAGUCGAGGGGAAACGGCAUCGAAAGCUUGCUUUUGAUGGGCGUCGACCGGCGCACGGGUGAGUAACGCGUAUCCAACCUGCCCAUCACUUGGGAAUAACCUUGCGAAAGUAAGACUAAUGCCCAAUGGCAUCCCACGAAGGCAUCCGAAUGGGAUUAAAGAUUUAUCGGUGAUGGAUGGGGAUGCGUCUGAUUAGCUUGUUGGCGGGGUGACGGCCCACCAAGGCAACGAUCAGUAGGGGUUCUGAGAGGAAGGUCCCCCACAUUGGAACUGAGACACGGUCCAAACUCCUACGGGAGGCAGCAGUGAGGAAUAGUGGUCAAUGGGCGAGAGCCUGAACCAGCCAAGUAGCGUGCAGGAUGACGGCCCUAUGGGUUGUAAACUGCUUUUAUAAGGGAAUAAAGUGGGUCACGUGUGACUUUUUGCAUGUACCUUAUGAAUAAGGACCGGCUAAUUCCGUG
rnacentral:rRNA from 1 species